CAUUUUUUAUUAUAAUAAUUCAAGAAAAAGCCCAGUCUAUGAAACAUCUCAAUUAAACAACUAGGGUUAUCGUCAAUAUCCGCCUCGGUGCUAUCCGUAUACUUGGAGCCAUAUGUUCGUCGUCUCAAAUAUUCUCCACACCGACAUGUCUCUUCAGCUCUAUCUUAGAGAGGACGCCUCUAUGCAUCAUCACCUUCGGGAUCUCCGUUCAAUUGAAGUUGGAAGAAUCUGGAUUCUCAGAGAGACAUCUGGUCAAGAAAUCAUCAGGUUUUCACAAAUCACCGGUUUGUCCGUAUGGUGCAGUAGUUGUCUAUAAAGUCACCUUGCUGGACAAGCUGAGAUAUGUUACUUAGAAGAUACCAACAUUUUUAAAGAAACCAAACGCAAGAGCGGUAUAGAGAUCUAGCAGGAGGUAACCGCUGUUCAACAGUUGAAGGAAACAAAAGUAGCUGGAACUUCAUUAAAGUUUCAACAACUUCAAAGUAAGUUUGGUGAAUCGGAGAUGAGAAUCUUGGACACUGAGUCUAGGAAAGCAAAACUAGAUAAAGAACUCAAAACUAAGAACACAAGCUUUCCAUUCUUAAAUCAACGAUAGAGAAAGCUACGGCACAGCUGUUCAAAUUGAAUCCUUUUUGGAAACUAUCUGAACCUGACGAUGACAUUGAAAUACUGCCUAAUCAGAACAUCAGCUUGGUUCUUAUUACUAUUUCUGGAUCCAUUAUUAGCUUCUUAUUCUUAUCCAAUGACUAUGAGAUUGGUUUACAUAAACUUCAGUUUCGUUUUCUUUUUACAUUGUAAAGAAAAACUUAAUUUUUCUUUUAU